GUUGAAAUACAGGUUCUCGUAUGAUCACCAAAGUUAAGCAAUGUCAACCCAGGUUAGUACCUAAAUGGGUGACAACUUGGGAAUAUCAGGUGUUGUAAG